rnacentral:tRNA from 1 species
GGGGCCGUAGCUCAACUUGGUUAGAGCGUCGGACUGUCGAUCCGAAGGUUGGGAGUUCGAGUCUCCUCGGCCUCG